rnacentral:rRNA from 1 species
UGGGGAAUAUUGCACAAUGGGCGCAAGCCUGAUGCAGCCAUGCCGCGUGUGUGAAGAAGGCCUUCGGGUUGUAAAGCACUUUCAGCGAGGAGGAAGGUGGUGGAACUUAAUACGUUCAUCAAUUGACGUUACUCGCAGAAGAAGCACCGGCUAACUCCGUGCCAGCAGCCGCGGUAAUACGGAGGGUGCAAGCGUUAAUCGGAAUUACUGGGCGUAAAGCGCACGCAGGCGGUUUGUUAAGUCAGAUGUGAAAUCCCCGGGCUCAACCUGGGAACUGCAUUUGAAACUGGCAAGCUAGAGUCUCGUAGAGGGGGUAGAAUUCCAGGUGGUAGCGGUGAAAUGCGUAGAGAUCUGGAGGAAUACCGGUGGCGAAGGCGGCCCCCUGGACGAAGACUGACCGCUCAGGUGCGAAAGCGUGGGGAGCAAAACAGGAUUAGGAUAACCCUGGUAGUCCACGCUGUAAACGAUGUCGAUUUUGGAGGUUGUGCCCUUGAGGCGUGGCUUCCGGAGCUAACGCGUUAAAUCGACCGCCUGGGGAGUACGGCCGCAAGGUUAAAACUUAAAUGAAUUGACGGGGUCAUA